rfam:Myotis lucifugus cont2.37589, whole genome shotgun sequence.
GGUGGUUCUCGGGUGAUGCACCUCAUAAUUGGGCUCCCUCCUCUCUGGCUCCCGGUGCGUCAACUGAGAACCGCA